rnacentral:pre_miRNA from 1 species
GGGGGGAGGCGGGAUCCUGGGCUGUGUCCCGGCGCCCUGUGCUCCGGAGCCUGCGCUGGUGGAUUCGCGCUCCCGGGCCGCCGCCGCGCAGCCCCCU